GAUGAACGCUGGCGGCGUGCCUAAUACAUGCAAGUCGAGCGAACAGACGAGGAGCUUGCUCCUCUGACGUUAGCGGCGGACGGGUGAGUAACACGUGGAUAACCUACCUAUAAGACUGGGAUAACUUCGGGAAACCGGAGCUAAUACCGGAUAAUAUAUUGAACCGCAUGGUUCAAUAGUGAAAGACGGUUUUGCUGUCACUUAUAGAUGGAUCCGCGCCGCAUUAGCUAGUUGGUAAGGUAACGGCUUACCAAGGCAACGAUGCGUAGCCGACCUGAGAGGGUGAUCGGCCACACUGGAACUGAGACACGGUCCAGACUCCUACGGGAGGCAGCAGUAGGGAAUCUUCCGCAAUGGGCGUAAGCCUGACGGAGCAACGCCGCGUGAGUGAUGAAGGUCUUCGGAUCGUAAAACUCUGUUAUUAGGGAAGAACAAAUGUGUAAGUAACUAUGCACGUAUUGACGGUACCUAAUCAGAAAGCCACGGCUAACUACGUG
rnacentral:rRNA from 1 species